rnacentral:rRNA from 1 species
UACGGAGGGGGCUAGCGUUGUUCGGAAUUACUGGGCGUAAAGCGCACGUAGGCGGCGAUUUAAGUCAGAGGUGAAAGCCCGGGGCUCAACCCCGGAAUAGCCUUUGAGACUGGAUUGCUAGAAUCUUGGAGAGGCGAGUGGAAUUCCGAGUGUAGAGGUGAAAUUCGUAGAUAUUCGGAAGAACACCAGUGGCGAAGGCGGCUCACUGGCCCGAUACUGACGCUGAGGCACGAAAGCGUGGGGAGCAAACAGG